UACGUAGGGGGCUAGCGUUGUCCGGAAUCAUUGGGCGUAAAGAGCUCGUAGGCGGUUUGUCGCGUCUGCUGUGAAAACCCGAGGCUCAACCUCGGGCCUGCAGUGGGUACGGGCAGACUAGAGUGCGGUAGGGGAGAUUGGAAUUCCUGGUGUAGCGGUGGAAUGCGCAGAUAACAGGAGGAACACCGAUGGCGAAGGCAGGUCACUGGGCCGCAACUGACGCUGAGGAGCGAAAGCAUGGGGAGCGAACAGG
rnacentral:rRNA from 1 species